UCCUGGCCUGUGUGGAGCUCAGGCUAGGAAUUUCACGGGUGAGGCCACUGGUUUCCAGGAUCCAGGCCAUUUUCUGGUGCAGGAGCUGGAAGUGGUAUAGCCAGGUCUGGAUGCCUUCAACAGGGAGACAGAU